CCAGCUCACUUUCCCUCUGCUCCUGUCAACCAGGAUUUCAGCACCCAAAUUAGUGCAAGGCCCCAACCCAAGGAAGCAUCAACUGAAUUGUCAGCCCAAUGAAUGACCCACCCUGGGGACAUGCUGUUAUAGCCCUGCCUCAGCUGUCACCUUCCUGUGGCCUUCCACUUUUCCUCAGCAUGAAGAGCUGCCAAAAACAGCAGUCAAAUUCUCCCUGAGGAAGAAGAAGCUGUGUUCAAGGCCUCUGCUCAUUCUUUCACCAAACUACCUUGCCUUCACAAAGGUGAGAAGGUGACACAAGCCCUCAAAUGCCAUGUGGGUGACCAAUCAUCAUCCUUUCAGUGGCUGUUAACAGACCUACCAAGUCCCACCCUAGUCAUGCAAUCCCAAAGAGUGUCUGACAUGGACACUCUGACAAGGUGGGCAAGAAGACAGAAGUAUGGAAUCAAGGCUGGAGAAAUGGGUGUGGGGCAAGAUCUUACAUCUUCAGAAUCUUACAUCAGGUGAGCAUCUACACAAAAGACCCCCCUGGCCUUGAGUGAAGCAGCUUUGUACUUGCUGAAGACAUUGUGAAUAAUCUAGAAAAGUUACCAAAAGGCAGAGGAACUCAAGGUAAGGGAGCACUGGCUAAGAACAAUAGUUAGUACAUACUGUAUUUUGUACAUGCUAAGCAUUUUUGUACUAAUUUUUUAAAUAUUUUCUUUAUUUCAUAGAGAGAACACGUGAGCAUAAGCAGGGGGAGCAGCAGAGGAAGGAAGAGAAGUAGGCUCCUUGCUGAGCAGGAAGCCCAACUUGAGGCUCUAUCCCAGGGUCCUGGGAUAAUGACCUGAGCCAAAGGCAGAUGUUUAACCAACUGAGCCACCCAGGUACUCCUGCAUUUAUUUUAAAGAUUUAUUUAUUUAUUCAUUUAUUUAUUUAUUUAUUUAUUGAGAGAGAAUGAGUGGGAGGGGCAAAGGAAGAGGGAGAGAGAAUCUCAAGCAGACUCCAAGCUGAAUGCAGAGCUGAGGCAUGGCUCAAUCUCAUGACCCUGAGAUCAUGACUUGAGCCAAAACCAAGAGUCAGACACUUAACUGAAUG
rnacentral:lncRNA from 12 species